GGCCAGCUAAAAAGUUAGCCUGCCACAUGAAUGUUGGUAGAAGAUAUGAGACUCUUGAGUCAGAGAUGAAGCAGAGUUUAUUACAGAAACAGGAGUAUCCGGAAUAUCAGCUUUCCUGGGAGGAGGAAGACACCCGUUUGUAGGGUCCCAAUACCCUGCACAUGCAGUGGGUUGCAUUCUGGGAGAGGAACCUUCAGCUUAGGGAACCUGAACCUUUUAUAAGGGACAAUAAGCUUGUUUGCUCUUUGCUCCAGGAGAUACUAUUUCUGUUUUCUAAGGGUGUUUGCCAAACAAACAUAUUGAAGAGAGAGCCCAGAACAAAGGGCAGUCAGGGCCACAGUCACCACAUGUAUAGAAAUGUGAAAUUCAUGAAGAAUUAUCUUCAAAUAGGCAACUGGGCUAGUGUCUGAGGGACAGCGUCAUUCCGAGUGCCUGUUAUAGUAGCCUCGCAUCCAUCCUUACUCCUAGAGAUUCAGGGUUCUAAUCCAAGGGGGCUUCAAGUUUAGAAGUAAUCCGAAAAUUCAGGGUUUGCAGGAAGUUAUCGCUCUUAAAGCAUUAGAGUUGACGAUCUUAGCAACAGUAACAAAUCUUGUCAGGACACCAAGUGAUUUUUAGUCCCUCCCGUCCA